CGGGGUGUGGCGCAGCUUGGUAGCGCAUCCGCUUUGGGAGCGGAGGGUCGCAGGUUCAAAUCCUGUCACCCCGA
rfam:Amycolatopsis halophila YIM 93223 genomic scaffold AmyhaDRAFT_Scaffold1.1, whole genome shotgun sequence.